UGGGCUCGGCCGCUGCAGCGACCGUCGCUCCGUGCCGGCACUGACCUCUAGUGGUACCGGCACCGGCACCGGCACCGGCGCAGACAGCGGUACCGACAGCGGGAAGGACAGCGCCAAGAUACCUGUCCCGGGAGGAUGGGUAAGGACGGCAGAGAUCCUGCUCGGCGCCGCAGUCAGUGGACAGAGACAGCCCCGGGGAGCACCUGGGGCUGCUCCUGCCCACACAUCCCUCCUUCCUGGACUGCUGGAGGAGCUGAGGGAUGGAGCUUCUGACUGCGAGUCUGGAUGUGGCCAAGGUCCUGCGCUGGGUGAGCACAGAUCCCCUCGGCAGUGACCGGAUUCCUGGACCAAACAGCUGACUCCCAACAGGAAUCAUCCUGUGUGCACUGGAGUUAAACCUGAAUCCUGCACCCUUCCGGACUGACAAUGGGAGUGCUUUGAGAUCAGAACGUCACCCUCCCUAUCCCCGAGUUAAUUAUUAGGGGGAUUUUUGCAUUUAAUUUAAAAAUGAGUUUAACUUCGCCUCAAAUACUGUUUUUCAGCCUAAUUGAAA